UGAUACCUACACCCAUCUGUUCACAAAGGAAAUAAGGGAGGAAAGAGAGUGCAGUUAGCUAUCACUCUUCAUCCCUGCUCCUUCUCUUCCUCUUUAUCUGCUCUCCUUCUUUGUACUCUACUUCUCUGAACACCUCCCUCUCUCUCCUCCUCCUCCUCCUCCUCUCCUCUCCUCUAAUCCCUCCUCUUCUCACUCCUGCCUGUCUCUCCACUGUUCUUCUCCUCCUUUCAUCUUCAGAUACAGGCAGAAUGGAGCUUGGCUUCCUCUAAAGACCCAGCAGCUGUGCAUGUGUAUUGGAGAUAUCUUGCUUCCUCAGGGGAGUCCAGACCCAUUUCCACUGUCUGCUGUAGCCAACCAACCCAGCCAUGCAUCGAUAAUCUAUUACGAAGCCUGGCUGAACACACUAUCCGGACGGCAGCUAGGAGCUAGCAGCUACAAGCAAGCAGCUACCGGCAGGAUCGAGACAGGGACCAGGGUGCUGAGAGUGGGCGGGGAGGUGGAGUUGGGAGGGUCGUCUGGUCCUGGCCAACUGGGCGUGGCCUACAGAAGGCAUAAAGGCCUGCCCUUCUGGGAGCCUCACUCUCGUAGCUGGUCCACUGGAGCAUCUACCAUUUUGUUCUUUGUUUGGUUUGUUGCACCUUACAACACACUUCACUUCAUUCAUUCACUCAUCCAUGCAUGGCACACACAACUGAUGUCUUCUAUACUUGCACACCCCACUGUUACAUUUAUGUAGGGUUAACUUACAUUAUUAGGGUAUUUAGUUGAAUAAACAUCUUACGGGUUACAUUAGGCUCGUUCGAGAUGAACUGCGCCUCGCCUGUAAAGUGGACGAGAACAGGCGGCAGCAGCGGGGGGCGGGGACAAAAAGCUGCGGUAAAGUCGGACAGUUUCCAGCCGAUUCCAGCCGCCUUCAGGCUGGACAGGAAGUGACAAAAACACU